GACAAAUGUAAUACUAGCCUAAAACAUCAUAAACAAUGCAUUCGUUGCUCCAGAGAGCGCUCCGCUUCCUUCUCCAAACGCGACUCGACUCUGCUCGGCCAUAGAAGACGUGGGCACAACAAUAUUAUUAUACUACAAGUCUCAUUCUCGAUGAUAACAAGUGUAAUUGUCCGUAUACUCGAUAUCUCAUACGUGCGAAAAAAUAGAUGGCGCAAUCUGUAGCCUCUCUUUAAGGCCCUCGCCGUUCGCGCCAUCCCUGUCAUAUUGUUUCGUUGUGCUUGAUAUCUCGGACGUUCUUGCUAAUUCCUAAGAAUUAUAAGAAUAAGUUAGUGGGAAAAAUGUCUAAAGUAAAGAAAAGGGAUUAUUCGAGAUCAAGAGAAAAAUCGAAAGACAAUGGUAAGAAACAAGAGGUUACGGAAAGAAAGCUGCAUAAAAUACAAAAUUAAUUAGAUAACCUCACAACUGUUAUAAAAUCAUUGGUGCAAACGCGGGAAUCCCAUACUAUGCGAACCAAUCAAAUGGGGGAUCUCCAGAAAUUAGCACUGGUAUGCUCACUUCGUUAAUUGUUUCCAUACGAAACUAUUAAUAUUAGGUUUCUCUCUUCGAUUCCAUAUAAAUCCUCGAAUGUCGGAUACGAAUCCAUAUGAAGCCGACAGAGAGUGCAGCACGUAGAAUACGUGACGCAAUAAGGAAGACUCAUAUAUGUUUUCAAAAUUACUCGAAAAUGCUAUAUGCAGUUUCGAGCGUUGAAAAUCCAUACUAUUUUGAUAUUACCAUAUGAGAUAUGGACUAGCAAUUGCUAGUUUCUGCAUAAGAAACAGUGUCUGCGGGAAAUUAGACAGACAGAGAGACAUACUUUUUGGUACUUCUUUCUUUUAAGAUGUCCGGAAAUAUGUAUUGCACAUGAGUUCGAAGCAUAUGGCAGAUUAAUAUAAUAUGAUCAAAAACUAUAUACAUAUAUUGUAGUGAAGAAUGAAAGACUUUAUAGGCGAACAUAAAAAUGCAA